CUGGAGCCAAUUAAGAUGGUCAGUUGCUUUCUUCAUGGGAGCCUGUGUGUACUGGCUGCACAUAGCAGUCUCCAUGAUAGUACCCACAGCCUGCUGCCCAUAUUAGUUGCCCUAAGGGACCUUGGAGGUAAAU